AGCGUCAUGGAUGGGUCAGGCAGUUUCUGAUGUAAAUGCAUCCUGAUCUAUUGAUGGCUUUGAAGAUCAAGAUAGGGGCCUUGAAUUGGCAUUCAGAGAGUGUGGAGAACAGACAUGAGAUGCUCUGAGAGGCUCAACCUGCUGAGGAAUGCAAUGAGAAUAGCCUGCUGGAAGCAUCAAGGCCCAGUAAACAGCAAACUUUGAAAACAAUAGCCUUUGCUGGUAAAUUUCCCUGGCCUUCCAUCAGAAAACACCAGAGGGCAGUGUGGAGAAUCUAUCUCCCCUUGGAGGAUCCUGCUACAGAUGGAAGCUUGUAGUACCAACUACCGAAGCAGCCAAAGCAAAGACAGCAGCAGGGGGUAGGAGGGACAGAGCAAAAUGGGGCCCAGCCAGGGCCACCCAUCCCCACAGUACCCCCGACCCAGAAUUGUGAAGGGGAGACCUCACACACACACACUCGGGGGGCUCUAGGACCCAGAUAGUGCCCCCCCACCAGAUACACACCCCUAGAGAAAAACCUGCAGAGAGGAGCCAGCCAAAGACUCCAGCCAUCAGGAACAGAAGCAACCAAAACUGGGACCUUAGGACGUUGAGAACUUUCUACAGUUUUGACUGGACUUUCUCUGCCCUGUGCUGAUUGGCUGUUUGCUCCAACCCUCCCCCUGCCUCUCCCUCAGUGUCUUCACCUUAGCUUCUUCACUCCAUACCUGUCCCUGUUAGCUGAAAGGGUGAGGAUGGCAGCUCGUGUAGAAAUACCUGUGCUAGCUGUACUCUAGCUAGAUUGCUAAAAAUAGAAGCAAGGGUGCUGUGCUGCAGCUUUCAGCUGUACAAACCCACCUGAAACCCCUGGCUACAUAAUUGCUUGUAUGUAGCGAGAGUAUAUCCAGUGCAGGUAUGUCUACACAAGUAGCCCAUUCACACACCCCUGGCUGAAACGUAAACAUACCCUUACUCUCUUUUCCCUGCCCUGUUCCUGCCAUCUCUUAUCCCUCUUCCCUUCAAUGUGCCCUCUCCCUUCCCUUUUCGUCCCAUUUAGUUAAUCCCCUUUUAACCAAACCGACCAAACAAAAAAAUUGUGGCAUUAACAUGCCAUUUGCUGCUAUCACAUUGUUCACUCUGCUUGUGAGUUCUACCCUUUCCCACCCCUGCAUCUGUCUUGUCUGUUUAGAUUGUAAGCUCUUCAGGUCAGGGAGCAUCUAUUGCUCUGUGUCUGUACAGUGCCUAGCACAAUGGGCCCCAUUCUUGGUUGAUCCUUAUGUACUGCUGUAAUUAAUAUGAUUAAAAAUAAUAGUAAUAGCUUAGCUCUUCACAGCAUAUUCACUGGUGCUCAGCAUAAAGGAGAGUCAUUUAAUUCCUCACAUUCAGUGAAUGCCAGACAAUGACAAAAGCAGCUUUUUUGCCCGUGUGGGGGAUACACAAUAUGUGUGCUAUGGAAUAUUGUCAGCAUUUUAGUGUGCACCAGUGUUCACAUAAACUCACUGACCUUAAAGCUUUCCCACAGUCAGUGGAUUGAGCCAGACAUAGAACUGUUCUUUCAAUCAGAAAUCCCAGAUGCAUUGCCUAUGAUAUCCUUUUCUGACAUCAACAGGAUUUGUAGCACAACUCUGCACACUGAAAAUGCUGGCAUGAUGAACAAACUAUACAAAGGUAAUAUACCACAGUUAUUCCAUCUGUAAUUAUACAGGAUUUAUGCUUAGGCAGCAACAUUAUUUCAGACUACUGAAAAAACAUACAUGGUUAAUAAGAAGAUGGGCUAGGUAGGAAAUUUCACUACAUGGCCUUUUAAAAAAAAUAGCUUUUUGUUACCAUGCAACCUGCUCCCCAUGGAUCAGAUCCGCACCUUUUCCUAUGCCUGAAAGAGCUGGUAAAAGUGGGGUUUAUUGUAUUUUGUGGUUGCAAAUGGAAGAACCUGCAGAACAAAGACUAUUAUUAACUACCAUCUGCUGAAAGGAGACUGCAGCUGUUUUGAGGUUUUCCUGCAAGCUAUGCAGAUCUGCUCAGAAUUUUAAUAGUUGUUUACCAACUGAAGUGUGCCAUUGAAAGAGCAAGAUGUUUCCAAGCAAACAAGGUGUGAACGUCACUUCAGACUGGAAAUAAACCCCUUCUCUCUGGGAAUGUUUUUCUGAUUGAGCUCACAGAUUUUUGAUUGACUGUUUCAGACUUCAGGCUGCUUCCUUUAACUCAUUACCUCCCAUAUCAGAAGCAUGAGGUCAGUAAUGUUCCCAAAGAAUACAGUGUAUUUUUAAACAGACUAGCAGCUUUUUAAGGGAAAAAGAUCUCUCUCUACAGUCCUAUAAUAAAUGAUAGAAAGAAAAAGGGCAGCCACACUAAAACCACACAGCUCUGGUAUCCAGCUGAAGAAUUAGUCAUAUAAUAACAAUUUAUGUUAAAAGUGCUUUACAGGCUCUGAACAAAAAUACAGCAGUUUGAAACUACAGAAGCAUAAAGGACCCUGCCAUCUGAUCUGAAUUCAAAGAUGAAAUGUGAAGACCCAUGGUGUGGAAGCAGUGCACAGUUGCCGAAGUCGCUCAGAUCGCUUCCCAGAAAGCGAGGGACUUGAGGAGACAAUCAUCCAGGAAAGGAAAAAUGAGGACCCCAUUCUUUCUGAGAUGUGCUGUUAUGACUACUAGUACUUUUGAGAAGACGCGUGGGGCAGUGGAAAGGCCAAAGGGCAGGACCCUGUAUUGAUAGUAUUCCACUCCCACAGCAAAUCUGAGAAAACAUUGAUGGGCAGGGUGGAUAGUGACAUGGAAAUAUGCAUCUUGGAGGUCGAGGGUUGAAAACCAAUCUCCUUGGUCCAGCAUCGGAAUUCUCAUUGGGAGAGUAACCAUCCAGAA